UUCUCUCAUUCACUGUAAAAUUCAGAGUACAAUACAUGCAGGCCUUUCAGUGAUCAACAGGUAUUAUUCUGACUUUAUAAACAGAAAUGUUUAACUGGCCAACGUCUGUGUUGGUCUUACGUUUACCAUAUAUUUGAGGGAAGUCAGGAGAGGACCCCAUGUCUUCAUACCCUAAGUACUAGAACCUGGGCUCCCAAUGCACACAGGAUGUAGAGGUGCCACUGAAGAACCUACACUCACACCACAAGGAAAAAGUAGUUAGCAUUUAAUGAAACUCCCUCCAUGUGGCUUCAAGCCACCAGGACACAGGCCCCCCCAACACUCUUAAUCUUCUCCUCAGCUCUUCUGCUGAAGAAUUUGGCCUUCACGAUGACAGGCUGCUUUGGGAGCUUUCCCUUUCCCAGAACUUUGUAGUAGCCCGAUCGCACCACAUCAAUGAUGGGAGCAGCCCCAGUCUUGUUUUUAGCAGCAUUCACCCGUGUCUGUUCACUGACCAAAGUCCACAAUUUGUCAAGGUUGACAGUUGGGCAGAAGCUCUGGUUCCUCUUUAAGUGGUAAUGCUUCAUACCAACUUUCCCAAAGUAGCCUGGGUGGUAUUUGUCGAAGUUGAUCCGGUGGUGAUGCAGACCACCAGCAUUACCGCGGCCGCCGGGGUGCUUCCGGUGCUUGCCUAUGCGGCCGUGGCCGUGGCUCACGUGGCCCCUAAGUUUCCGGGUCUUCCUCAGUCUGGAUGGCAUGUUGGCAGC
rnacentral:lncRNA from 1 species